UACGAAGGGGACUAGCGUUGUUCGGAAUCACUGGGCGUAAAGCGCACGUAGGCGGAUUCGUAAGUUAGGGGUGAAAUCCCGGGGCUCAACCUCGGAACUGCCUUUGAUACUGCGGGUCUCGAGUCCGAUAGAGGUGGGUGGAAUUCCUAGUGUAGAGGUGAAAUUCGUAGAUAUUAGGAAGAACACCGGUGGCGAAGGCGGCCCACUGGAUCGGCACUGACGCUGAGACGCGAAAGCGUGGGGAGCGAACAGGAUUAAGA
rnacentral:rRNA from 1 species